AAGCAAAAGAAAGAAUUAGAAAAACACAGUACAUACAGUUAAAAGAUGGAGAAGAUACGACUGGAUGCUUCAGCUUAUUACAGAAACUUGCCACCUGCAGAAAUGCAAAAGGCAAAGGCUGGGUUCAGUGCAAUGGAUAAUACUGGAAGUGGAAAAGUGAGCCUCAAGCAAUACUCGGAAUACUUUAAACAAAGAGGGCUUGUAGAGCUUACUUAUCCCGAUUUGUUCAAAGCGUUGGAUACAAAUGGAGAUGGCAGACUCGAUUUCGAUGAAUUUAUCACUGUCUACUACCUCUGCAUGAACAAUAAACUGAUAUAUUGUGAAGAAUGCGGGGUCUUUCUCUCUGGAUCCUACAUGAGUUGCCUUCAAUGCUUCAAUAAUGGUUCUGGGGAUCCCUAUAACAUUUGUUAUGAUUGUUAUAGCAGAAACAACAUUGAUCAUCAUAAGGAUGCUUACUUUGUCGAUAAUAUAAAACUCCAUUGCUUCGCAGUUAAAGGCUCUGCAGUUAAUGAAGGCUCCGCAGUUAAUGAAGGCUCCGCAGUUAAUGAAGGCUCCGCAGUUAAUGAAGGCUCCGCAGUUAAUGAAGGCUCCGCAGUUAAUGAAGGCUCCGCAGUUAAUGAAGGCUCCGCAGUUAAUGAAGGCUCCGCAGUUAAUGAAGGCUCCGCAGUUAAUGAAGGCUCCGCAGUUAAUGAAGGCUCCGCAGUUAAUAAAGGCUCUGCAGAUAAUAAUGGCUUCACAACUCGAAGCUCCGGUGGUAAGGUAUGUAUAUAUUAUAUAAUAUAAUUCUGAUACUCUUAGAAAUAUCAAACAACAAAUCUUCAUGCAUAUAACAAUUAAUAUCCAUCUUGAUUUUUCAGAUGACUACGAAGGAUAAGCUUACAGCAGCUCUAUUAGGGGUUUCUGUGGUGAAUUUAGGAAUAAAUACUGCAAAGUUUGUGGCAACUAGUAAACCAGAAUUAUGGGAACAAGCAAAACAAGUUUUCGAUGGUCCCCAAAAAAAUACUUCAGGUGCUGCUGAAUCUGCAUUCGAAUUGUCCGAUCAUGGAAGUAAUGCUGUUAAUUCCGCAGCCGACUUGUCUGAUCAUGGAACUAAUAUUGCUGCUAACACUGCAUGGAACUUUUCGGACCAUGGAAGUAAUUUUGCUGCUGUUGCACCCAAUUUUGCGGACCAUGGAAGUAAUGUUGCUGACGUCGCAUCCAAUUUUCCUGACCAUUUAAGCACUGCUGUUGAUAUUGCAUCAAAUUGUACUGUCAUGUAAAAUUUAUACUUUGCAGCCUUCAACGAAGUGUAAAAUAUCUACUUCUUGUUGUUUAAUUUCAUCUUAUAAUAAUAAAGCUUGCUGGUUUGGAUAUAGUUCCCAGGAGAUGCAGAGCUUUUUUCUAUUUGCACAAUACUUUUUCUUAAUAAUAAAUAAUCUCGUUUUGCUGAUAAAAAAAAAUAUAUAUUCCAUUUCAAAUCAUACUGGAGCACAGCAGAACAAAAUUUUAAAUUUUCACUCAAAUUUAAAUUCCUUAAUAUUUCUUAAUUAAUUCAUUUUUUUUAUUCGAACCUAAGUUUGAUAAUUUAAAUCCAUCAAUUUGAAAUUAAAACAUUGAAUAUAAAAUUUGUAUUUGAUCUAUAAAUAUAACAAAAAAAAAAAGGAGAAAAAAAAAAUGGAAGUUUGAAAAUUAUGUAUAUGCUCACAAAGAAGCCUUUUGCCCAUAAAAGAGUUUGUCGCCAAUAAAGAGUAAUAAAACAACUGCUAAUUAUAAGCUCCGUUUAGUAUUUCCCUUGAAAUAGAUAAUUUGGAGUUUUAGACUUUAAUUAUAAUAAAAACGGAAAUGUAUGUUUAAAUUCAAAAAAAUCAUUUUUAGUUAAAUUGACUUUAUAUGUUACUUCCAUACAUAUUAAACUGAUUUUAAAAUUAAAAUUAGAAUGAAUUUAAUAUGUAAAUAAAUAAUAGGAUUUGCUUUUGCAAACUUUAUUUUUACUUGCAAAGUUAAAAAUUUGAAACCUAAAGUCAUCGUGUGUGUACACAUAAGGGUGCCCUAAUUAAGACUUCAACAAUUCCUUAUGAAGCUUAUUAACACUUCAAAUUCAGUGAUUAGCUAUGAGGAAAAUGGGAUAGGAUUUCCAAUUGAAUAUUCAACUUUGGCGGAUCAAUUGAAAUGCAUGUAGGAAGCAAUAUAUACAGGGAAAAUCACAAAACCAAAAAGCAAAUGCAAAAAAUAGAAAAAAAAAACCCAACGGAUAUAGAUUAAAAGAUGGAGGAGAUACGACAGGCUGCUUCAGCUUAUUACAGAAACUUGGCAACUGCAGAUAAGCAGAUGGCAAUCAAUGGGUUCAAUUUAAUGGAUAAAACUGGAAAUGGGACAAUUAGCCUCAGGCGAUAUUCAGAAUACUUCAAACAAAGAGGGCUUAUAGAGCUUACUUAUCCUGAAUUUUUCAAAGCAUUGGAUUCGGAUGGAGAUGACCGGCUUGAUUUCGAUGAAUUUAUCACUGUCUACUACCUCUGCAUGAAUAAUAAACUGAUAUUCUGUGAAGAAUGUAUGGUGUUUCUAUCUGGAUCGUACGUGAGUUGCCUUCAAUGCUUCAAUAGUGGUUCUGGUAAACCCUAUAACGUUUGUUGUGCUUGUUAUCGCAAAAACAACAUUGAUCAUCACAAGGAUGCUACCUUUGUCGAUAAUCAAAAACUCAAGAACUCUGCAAAUAAUAAGGGCUCCGCAGAUCAAAGCUCUGGUAGUGAGGUAUGUAUAUAUAUAAUUCUGUAACUAUUACAAAUGUCAAACAACACAUAGCCAUGCAUAUCAUCACGAUUUUACUUGAAUUAUUUACCCAUUGCGACGGUUUUUCAGAAAAUAACAACGAGGGAUAAGCUUACAGCAGCUAUAUUAGGGGUUUCAGCGGUGAAUUUAGGAAUAAAUACUGCAAAGUUUGCAACGACUAGUGGACCAGAAUUAUGGGAAAAUGCAAAACACGCUUUUGAUCAUCCCCUUCAAAACCCUUCAGAAGCUGCUCAAAUACCCGCAUUCAACUUGUCCGACCAUAGAAGAAAUGCGGUUAAUUCCACUGUAUUCAACUCGUCUAGUCAUGGAACUAAUGCCGCUAAAACUGCAAAAUACUCGUCUGAUAAUGCUGAAGCUGCGUCCAGCCUUUUAGACCAGAUGAGUAAUGUUCUUGAAGGUGCAUCAUCGUGUUCUGUUAUGUAAAAUAUGAUUUAGCAGUUAAAACAAACAGAGCUGUAAAACCAUAUCUAGCAGCCCUAGAUAAAAAGAAAACUGUACAGCUUUUAGCAGUUGGGUACAAUUGGCUUAUUUUACUCUUAUAAUAACUCUCACGGGAAACAUCUCUUCAUUAAUAAGAAUGUUGAUGCUCAUGAAUUCACUAUUUGCCUUCUUGUUAUGACAUUUCACAAUCUGUUUGAUAUUUCUUAUAUUUUCCNNNNNNNNNNNNNNNNNNNNNNNNNNNNNNNNNNNNNNNNNNNNNNNNNNNNNNNNNNNNNNNNNNNNNNNNNNNNNNNNNNNNNNNNNNNNNNNNNNNNNNNNNNNNNNNNNNNNNNNNNNNNNNNNNNNNNNNNNNNNNNNNNNNNNNNNNNNNNNNNNNNNCAAGCGAAAGAGUUUUCUAUUGCGAUGAGUGUAGAGUCUUUCUUGAUAGAGUCUAUUUUACUUGUGUCCAGUGCUUCAAUGGCUCCGGUAAUACUUAUGAUCUCUGUGUUUCUUGCUAUCGCGAUAAGAAUAUCAUUAAUCAUCACAAGGAUGCUGUGUUUCUCGAUAAUUACACGAUGCUGCAAGCCAAAAGGAAUCAGAAUAAUGCAUCAGCAAGUAAGGUAAAAUAUUUUGAAAAUUCAGAUAUAAUCUUGAAAUUCAUAUUUUAAAGUAUUUGACUUUCCUGGAAAUAAUUAAAUCUGUAUUAUGAUGUUUAUCUUUUACCAGGGAAACCAAGGAGUUAAGGAGACCGUUGAACUGGCAAAGUUUGGUAUUGAAACUACGUCUAAUGUUGUUAACUUAUGUAACCAAAUGUAAAUUUGCUCAAAAGAAAUCUUCUGGAUUGUUGUGUUUUUUCUUUGUAAACCCAUCUUCACUCAAAUAAUACAUAAAGAUUGUAUUUGUGUAGCUUAUUAUUAUGUAUAUAUUCAAUUUCCAAGUACUUUUCCUGGAAUGGGAUAGAGGAAUAACCAUUGAAGACUUGUGUAAAGGUCUACAGGUCUAUGAAACAACUUGUACAUAAUUUACGACUCUGCGCUUUUCUCAUUGACCUUGGACUUGGUAAGUCGUCUCCUGUUAUCUUUUUCUCAAUUUGUGAUUUACUUCAUAAGAAAGAAAGACUUAGACGACGCCUAUGAUGGUCUCACUGUACUACAGAUUCGUGGAAGAACGUGUUCAUUUGUGAGAAAAAUAAUUGGUUUUCCAAAAGAAUCGGUUACAGUGGCUCAUUUUUUAUAUAGGAAAUUCUCUUUACCAUUGCGUAGAGGAUUCUGUGAUUACAUUUGUAAUUCUUUUCCACAUAAAUGAAAAAUCAACUUUUAUUCUUUUUGACUUUGUCAUGAAAAUGUUUUGCAUGUUAAAUUUAUCUGAUCUGUAACUGUUUUUCCAUGAAUUGUGGUGAAAUAUUCAAUAUGAAAAACUCAUUUCCAUAUUCUAAUCUUAUCAUUUUAAUUUUAUCAUUUGGAUAUUCUAAUUAAAUCAAGUUAAUUCUCUUCUCAAAAUAAAAAAAUCAAGUUAAUUGUAAUUAAUAAGAUAAUUGAAAUAGUUUACAUAUACGACAUAUUACUGUUUACUUAAUAUUCUAAAACUUGAUUGUCAAUAUUUCCGGAAACCAUUGUCGUUCAAGAAACAUAAAUGGCUUUUUUAAAAAACUGUUCGGUAUCAUAACAUUUGAAUUAAUUUUUUAGAGGGUAUAGUAGUAUUGCGUGAAAAGUUAACUCAUAUAACGUCUAACUUUUAGCGUUUCAUAGAAAGCUAAUCAAACAGUUAACGGUUAAACGUUAUUAAAACAGCUAAUUUUGCCGAUCAAACCCUAAGUUUAAUGAACAAUUUAUAAUUUUCUUACUUUGACUUUCAUUUAAUCAAAUAUUUGAAAUGUUUUAAGACCAGAUGUAUUUCUUAAUACACAAUGUGGAUUUGUUUUAGUAAUUAAUUGAUUUCAAGUUUGUAAAAUUAAGGGUUGAGAUAUUUGGCAAUAAAAAAUUUUAAGCAAAUGAAUAUAAAAAAAAGAAAAUUUUUAAAUAAAAGUGGCACUUGUAAUGCAUAUAUUAAAGAAAACAUUUUGAAAUAAUAAAAAAAAAACUGAUAAGUAUUUUUAUGAAUUUAAAAAUAGCAGAAAAAAUGAAUAGAAACCCAAAUAUGUAAAAUUUAGAUACCAAUCUCAUGAAAGAUUUCAAAAAAAAAAAAAAAAAAAACUAAAUUUUUUGAAUAGAUGAUGUAAAAUUGAAAAUAUGUAUUAAAUUAACAAAAUAUUAAUAAAAAAAUAUAUACUAAACUUAAAUGACUUGGUCAAUUUUUGAAUUUGAAUGAGCCUGUGGUAGAAAUGGCCUAAAUAUGAAUUUGUUAUUUACCCAAAGUAACAAUUCAAACAGUCAAAUUUGGCAAAGACAUGAAGAAGUGUUACAGUAAAAAUGUAAUGCAACAAAUCCCACAUUGGUAAGAUGAAUACCGUGUCACAUGAACCUUUCUACAUAACAAGCUCAAAUCGAUAUCUUAAUUACGCACCCAUGCGGUAAGCACAUAGCGAACAAUUUUCUUUCGCCUUUUACUAAAGAAUACCGUGUGCCUGCCGCUCUAUUGUGGCAUACGCUUAUUUUUGGAGGGGUUGAUCUCACUGGAUAUCAGCCCCCAACCAAACCUAGUCCAAAUUAUCCCACUUAGGCCCAAUUUUUCGGCCCAUUAAAAGAUUCCAGCCCAAACCUAUGCUAGUGAUUGAUGUUUACUUGUACUUGCACAACAAUGAAACGUAAAAUAGGCAAAAUCAAUAGAGAAGUUCCAUAAAAUAGCUAGGAGCUUAAAACACCCCUGAAAUCAGAUUUACUAUAAUACCAUUAGGUUGUAAAGAUAUAUGGAAUAAUUUUAAUUGAGACUUGAUCACUAUUAGGGGUCAUUUUCUUCAAUUAAAUUUGUAAUUUAAUUUCAUUUGAAUUUGAAUUUAUUUAAUUUCAUAUGAAUUUGAAUUAAUUAUUAAAACCCAUCACUAUUUAAUUAGUUUUUUUUCUUCUUAAUUUUAAAUUCCAAGUGGACGAAACAAGGGAAAAGUCGUCCAUGACUAUACCCACUGUCUAAUUUCUUUUCCUUUUAAUUACUUUUCAAAUGAAUAUAUAUAUAUAUAUAUUUUUUUUUGAAAGAGUUCAAAUGAAUAUAUUUAUAUUCAUAAAAAUCUCUAAUUAGAAUCUUUUUGUCCUUGACGAAAAGGCCAAAUCAACUUGUGGAAAAUCUUGAAGACAUAAGCUGUUGGCGAUUGCAAUUAGCAGCCAUUUAACAAUUUCUUUCCAGUUGAGUAUUCAAUGUAUUUGAAUAUAUAUAUAUUUUUUACUCUAUAUAGUAAUAUGAUAUCAUAAGUUAGUGUUCGUAUCUUCGGCCAAAUUUAAUUUUUUAAUUUAUUAAAAAAAUUAUGUAAGAGGUUCUUCCAAGAAAAUACCUAAUAUUGAUGCAGGAGUAGGAAGUUUCCAUCCGCUUUGAUGGAACUGAACUGAGGAAGCAUUAUAUAAGCGCAAAUCACAGAACCGAAAAGCACAAGCAAAAGCGAAAAAAAAAAAGAAUUAGAAAAACGCAGUACCUACAAUUAAGAUGGAGAAGAUACGACUGGAUGCUUCAGCUUAUUACAGAAACUUGCCACCUGCAGAAAAGCAAAGGGUAAAGAUUGGGUUCAGUGCUUUGGAUAAAACUGGAAGUGGAAAAGUGAGCCUCAAGCAAUACUCGGAAUAUUUUAAACAAAGGGGGCUUGUAGAGCUUACUUAUCCCUAUUUGUUCAAAGCAUUGGAUACAAAUGGAGAUGGCAGACUCGAUUUCAAUGAAUAUAUCACUGUCUACUACCUCUGCAUGAACAAUAAGAUGAUAUUUUGUGAAGAAUGCGGGGUCUUUCUCUCUGGAUCCUACAUGAGUUGCCUUCAAUGCUUCGAUAAUGAUUCUGGGGAUCCCUAUAAUAUUUGUUAUGAUUGUUAUAACAGAAACAACAUUGAUCAUCAUAAGGAUGCUACCUUUGUCGAUGAUAUAAAACUCCAGUGCUUAGCAGUUAAAGGUUCUGCAGAUAACAAUGGCUCCACAACUCGAAGCUCCGGUGGUAAGGUACGUAUAUAUAAUAAAAUAUAGUUCUGUUACUCUUAGAAAUAUCAAACAACAAAUCUUCAUGCAUAUAAUAAUUAAGAUCCAUCUUGAUUUUUCAGAUAACUACGAGGGAUAAGCUUAGAACAGCUUUAUUAGUGGUCUCGGCGGUGAAAUUAGGAGUGGUUGCAUCAAGUUGUUCUGUCAUGUAAAAUGUAUAUUUUGCAGCCUUCAAAAAAAAAAGAGAGAGCUGUAUAACUUCAGUGCUUGGCUAUACCUCUUGUUGUUUUAAUUUCAUUUUAUAACUAGAUAAAGGCCCGCGCGCAACGUGUGAGAUUAUUUUAUUGUUAUUUUCCACUAUAAUCUUCUUGAUAAAUGAAAAUAAAUAGUUAUCGCUGCAGUCUAAUUUUUAAUAUUGUGAAUUUAAAUUUUAAAAGUGUACCAAUGUCUUGGCAUAAGUUGUCUAAUCUAAUCGUAAAUGAAAAUGAUAGAUAAGAAAACCGCUAAGGAAUAUAUCUGAGUAUUGUAUGUCCCCUACCAAAGAAAAUUACACAUUAUCCAAUAGGUUAAUAGGAUAAAUCAAUUAAAAAAAAGAUAAUGGUGGAAGAAAAGAGUGCCAAGUCAGAUUUUUAAUGAUAUUUUUUUAUUUUAGGAUUAUAUAAAUAUGUAGAAUACAUAUAGAUAAUAAAAUAUGCCAUUUUAAAUCAUAUUCAAGCAUAACAAAACAAAUUUUAAAAAUUUCAAUCAAAUUUAAAUUCCUUAAUAUUACUAAUUAAUUCACUUUUUUAUUCAAAUAUAAGUUUGAUAAUUUAAAUCCAUCGAUUUGAAAUUAAAAUAUUGAAUCUAAAAUUUUUAUUUGAUCUAUAAAUAUAACAAAAAAAAAAAAAAAAGAGAGAGAGAGAAUUUUCUAAGUUUGAAAAUUGAAUUUAUGCUCACAAAGAGGCUUCUUGCCCAUAUAUUGAGUUUGUCGCCAAUAAAGUAGUAACAAUUGCUGAUUAUAAGCUUCAUUUUAAUAUUUCCUUUGGAAUAGAAAAUUUGUAUGUUUAGACUUAAAUUAGUUCAUGUUGAACUUAGAAUAAAAAUAAAAAUGCAUGUUUAAAUUCAAAAAAUCAAUUUUAGUUUCCAUAUAGCUUAUAAAGUUUUUUUUUUAACUUAUAAAGUUAAAAAUUUAAAACCUAGAGUCAUUGUGUGUAUAUACAUAAGUGUGCCCUAAUUGCCGUUUCAACAAUUAUUUCUUUGUGUAAUAGAAUUGGAACCUUAGGCUCAAUUAUCAAUUGUUAGUCCUUAUGAUAGGAUAGGAUAGGAAAUGUCAGUGCUUUCGCAAGUGUACGAAAUCGCUACAAGUAAUAUAGAAUGAGUAGAGUAUCGUGUCCACAGUGAUUGUAUACCAAGUACCAAAAUUAUGUUAACCUACUAUUAUUUAAACGGCAAUAAGGGAUAUUAUUUUUAGAAACUAAAUUCAACAAAUAAAAGAGAAUAAGAAGAAAUCAAGCAACAAUAUUUGAUUAAAAUAAAUCAAGAAUUUAAAGCUAUCAAGGAUUUUGACUUCACUUAAUUCUAUCCAAUUUAUUUUAUUAGUUUGAUAAUCAAUUUUAAUUGUUCAAGUAGGGGAAACAACCCUAAAAUCAUAACAAGCUCUCCUGAUAUAUUGUUAGCUAUUUUAACCCGGUCUAAUUACCUAUCUUCCAAUAGCGCAAUCAAACAUGAAUUAAAUCAUUAAAUUUUAUGGUUUGUUUUGUGCAUUCAUAACUUAAGGUUAUUAACUUAUGAAAACCCCCCAUGAGUCAAACCAUAUAGCUUUCGCAUCAAGUUAUUAUUAUCAUGUAAUUUAUUACUUUUUUCAUAUCAAAAACCUUUCUCCCGAUAGUGAUUAAUGAAAUAAAUCAAUCCAGGGGAGAAACUCUGCAUAGAAGCAUUAAGUUCAAUAAUAAUUUAUACUUUAAACAAAGAAAAGCAAAUCUAAUAUUAUAAAUUGGAAAAGAAAUUAAGCUACAUCAAAUCCCUAGUAUGAGAGUUUAGUUAAACAUGGUACUUAAAUAAAACUCAAUAAUACUUGAUAAAAGUUUUAUAAUCAAUAAGAAUAAUGAAAGAAAUAAACAAGAUUAAGAGUUUAGAAAUAAGAACUAGUUAAUAAUUGACUUCGGAUGGCUUCCUUGAAUCUUGGCACAACUCUUGAAUGCUUGAACUCUUGAAGAAAUAAAACUAUGAGAAUGAGAGAUAUAUGAGAUGGGAUGGAAUGGGAUUGUAUGGGAUUUGGGAUCCUUCCUCUCUUUAUAUAGACUUCUUGGGAUAGAACUUCUACAUUGUUUAGGGAAUAAAGUUCUCAUUAGGCCUAAAAUUUCUCUCAAUCAUGUCUCUUCCAUGUGCAUAAAUUAGAACUUGAUUUGCAUGUUAAGAAAGUAUCCAAGGUGAGCUCAUGAAAAUGAUAAGGAAUGGUUGGAAAUUUUGACUCAAAUCAACACUUGGUAUUUAGCACGGGCGUGGUGGGAAGCACGGUCUGGGCGUGCCAAGUUCUGAGUCUAUGGGGAGUUCAGCAUGGGCCGUGCUUAGAGGCACGCUUGGAUAAGGACUUGUGGCACGGGCGUGCUAGGGAGCACGGCUUGGGCGUGCUAGGCUCUGAGUCUCCACUUGAUUUUCCUUGAUUCCAGCACGGGCGUGCUGAUGUGCAAGGCUUGGGUGUGCUAGAGCCUGAGUGUUUUGCUUUAUUUUGCUCUUUUCUAUGCCAAAACCCUACAAAUUUCCUAAAGACCAAGUGAAUUAUGAUUCAAGAAAGCUUUUAUAUCAAAACAUAAAUAAAAUUAAGAUAAAAACUAAAUAAAGUAAUUAAAAAGACUAAAAACUCCUAAUAAAACUAUAUUGAAAACAUUAUAAAAAUAACACUAUCAAAAUUCCCCAAACUUAAACCAUUGCUUGUCCUCAAGCAAAAAAACUAAAAACUAACAAAGCUAGCUUAAUAUGGUAGGGAAUAAUUAUUCACAAUUUCAUAAGUAUCAAAAGUCAUUAACAUGAGAAUAAAUCAUGUGUUUCCUAUGCUAAUUAUAUUCUAGCAGAAAAAAAUUAAUUUUCAAUAAAACACAUUCCUUAAUUUAAACAUAAGUUAACAAGAUUUUUAACACCAACAAUUAUUCAACUUAUGAUAGGUAGAUAUGAAUUUUCACAAAAAUCAUUUAACCUUUAAAUAAGAGGUUUAAAUAUAAGCUCAACAUUCCCAUAGGUAAAAUUAGUCAUUCCUUCUCCACAAUUGAAAUGCAUACAAUUUAAAAGAUCAAAAUGUCUUUAUUUAGAUUGUAAUGGGGUUUUAAGGAUAUAAUUUUAGCUAAACAAAGAAAAGGACAACACGGUAGAUAAAAGUACAAAGAAUGCUUAAUAUCAUGAUUUUCAUUUAUAUUAAAAAUGAAUUUUUUUUUUUAUUUGUAAAGGGAGACUAACUUUGAAGUCCCUUACUAGCUUGAAAUUAGAGGCAUUUUUGGCAAGGUCUCUUCAUAGCAUUUUUGAUAAUUUCUUCCUUGCUAAAGUUCCCCAAAUUUGAAUUUUUGAUUCCUUGUUUCUUUUAUGGGGUGUUCCUUUUUUUUUUUUUUUUUUGUUUUUUUUUCUCUGCUUUCUUCAUUUGCUAGUAUUAAUGAAAUUUUCUCCAUUUGUUGCUAUGUUUUAAUAAAAAUCAAAUCCUUCAAUUACACAUUAUUGCCCUUAGGGUAGGAAAUUAAUUUGGUUUAAUGGCUAGGUUUAAAUACGGGUGAACAAUAAAUUUUUGAUAUAGGCUUCAAAUUAGUUGCAAAUGUCAUACUUUAACUUAUGGGGUCUAGGCUAAAUAUGAAAUUUUAACAAAAAAUGCUUAAAUCAUCUCUUUAUAAAUGUAAGCAUUUAAAUUUUUGUCUUGAAGAGAAUUUUAAUUUGUUCUAGGAAUGCCAAGGUUAAAUAAAUUUUGAUUAAAACACAUCUAUAUAUCAUAGAAUUCACAAAAUUAAUGUUUAUAAUCUUAGAAAUAAAUAGUUAAAUCAAAAAAUCAUGUUAAGUCAAAAAUUAAAAUUUAAGCUGAAAAAUAAUUAACUUCGCAACUAAAUUCAUUGCAAGUUAAUGAAUUAUGAUAAUUUUUUAAACUUUCUCACAAUUAUUCCAACCAUAUUAAAUUAAUGAAAUAAACAAACAAAAUAAUAAAAAAAAUUAAAAUUUUAACUAAAAUUUUCCUUUCCCCAACUUAAUCUAGCACAUUAUCCCCAAUGUGUGCAAAAAUAAGAUCAAUUCUCCAAACUUAUCAUAAUUCAUCAAUGCAAGGUAAGAAAACAAAAAUAAAGUAGAAAAUGCCUUACCACCAUUGUAUUGACAAAUACAAUAAAAGACAAGGAAACAAAGGGCAUGAUUCUAAUGGCUAAAUUCUUAAAAUAUGAAAGGACAAGAUAACACAAUAAUAAUAAUAAUAAUAUAGACCUAAUUGUUAAGGAAAGAAAGAAGAAAAAAUUGAAAUAAAAAAAUAAUUAAAAAAAUAAAAAAAAAUUUCCUAUAAAAAUAAUUAAAAGCAAAUAAUUAAAGACAAAAAAAAAAAAGUGAACGGUAAGUCAAAAAGAAAGAAAGAAAGAAAGUGGGUAGAGUAGGACAAAAAAAAAAAGAAAAAAAAAAAAAGAAAGAAAGAGAAAAAAAAUAGAGUAAAAAAAAAAAAGUUGCACAGCCAAAGUAAUGAGGUGCACCUGACCGUGCUGCCUGGGAGUGCUAGGUAGCACGGGGGUGCUGAUAAGCACGCUCUGACCGUACUAGAGUCUGACUAUGGACGCAUUUUUCUCUGAAAACAGCACAGGGAUGCUAGGCAGCACGCCCUGACCAUGCUAGAGCCUGACUCUGGCACUUCCAAUCAAAUUUUAAGCCUUUUUAAUCCUAUUUUUGACCUGCAAUAUAAGUACAAAACACCAAAAUAGAAGAAAAUAAUGGUUUAAAGAUGGGAGAACAAAAUGAAAAAUACAAGUAAUAAUAAAAUAAAAUAAAGAUUGCAAAGAAAGAGAAAGAAAAUGAUGGAUUGCCCCCCAUUAGCGUUUGGUUUAAAGUUUUUAAACUCGACUUUUGAGAAGUUUAUCAAAUAACGGCAUUCGCCCAUAGUAUGUAUCAUGUAGUAUCACACAUGGGUCUUGGUUAAAAAUACCCUCAAGAUUGACUAGUUUGAGAAAAUUUAUGCUCAUCAUAUCAACAACAUCUCGCUUUGAAUGAUGAACUUGGGGAAAAAUCUGUAUUAGAUCAUGGAGAACUCAAUUUAUUAAAGGUGGUAUUAUUGGAAAUAAAAUAUCUUCUGGUGGUGUAUAUAUAAAGACCAUUGAUGAGCUCAAAUCAAUAGUCUCAAUUAUUUCUUCAUCCACUCAUAUUGCUUUCUGCUUGUUGUCAUUUAGACUCUCACCCAAGGUCCCUUCCAACCGUACCUCAUUUUUUUUAUGGUCAUUAAUAAUUAUGUCUGGAAAUAAGAAAUUGAGAUUUAAUCCGUUUUCAAAGGAAUAACAUUUUUCACAUGUAGGCUUUACUUCUUCUAAAUAUGCAAUUUCCCAUGAAGUUUUCGCAGGAUUCGCCUUACACUCAUCAUCUUUAUAUCUAUUAAUUGCCAUGGUUAUUAAUUCCGUUGCUUGUACCUCCAAAUUCUUUAUUGCUGCUUGUUGGAUCUUAAAACUCUCGCGAGUGUCAUUCAUAAAUUCAAUGUGAGAUGUAGUAAGGGCAACAAUCAAAUCCUCUAAAUUCUUUUGUUUUUCUUCUUCAUAUUUAAAAUUUUGAGGAUAUUGGUGAUUCCAACCCUGCAGUGAAUGAUCCCAAUGCCAACGGUAGUCAAAAUCUGCCAUAUCAUUUAACAUAUAUAGUACAUCUUCAUAGCUGCUUUCCACAAGGUGAAUACCGGUUGCAGAAAAUCCAUUAGCUACCCAAUUUCUAGUUUCUUCAUCUAAUCCACAAUAGAAUAUGUAAGUGAGAUAUUUAUUUUUGUAAAAUUAUGACAAGAAAAUCUCUCCAACAAUUCAUUAAAUCUUGCCCAAGCUGCAUAAAAUGAUGCCUCUAAAUGUUGUUGAAUAAAACUUGCGACUACUUGUUGAUGAAACAUCUCAAAAUACUUCGCAAGAAAAAUAAAAAAAAUCGAUAAAAUAAAGAAAAACUAGAAAUAAUAUAAACAAAUAUUUCAAUUAACCAACAAAAAAAAUGUCUAAAUUAAUAAUAGGUUAAUUAGUAUUGAUAUUGGUAACGCCAAUCCCCGGCCACGGCGCCAAAAACUUGAUAGUGUUUUCCCAAGUGUACAAAAUCGCUACAAGUAAUAUAUGAUGAGUAGAAUAUCGUUCCCACGAGGAUCGUAUACCAAGUACCAAAAUUAUGUUAACCUAUUAUUAUUUAAACGAUGAAGAAUUUGUUUCAAGAAUUUAAAUUCAACAAGUAAAAUAAGAAAAGAUCAAGCAAGCAAUUAUUGAUUAAAGAAAUCAAGGAUUUAAAACUACUAUGGAUUUUGAUUUCACUUAAUUCUAUCCAACUUUAGUUCAUUAAUCAAUUUUAAUUGUUCAAGUAGGAGAAAUAACUCUACAUUCACUAACAAGCUCUCCCGAUGUAUUAUUAGCCAUUUUAAUUCCGUUUAACCAUCUAUCUUCCAAUAGCACAAUCAAUCAUGAAUUAAAUCAUUAAGUUCUGUAGUCAUUUAUGAUUCAUAAAUUAAGGUUGUUAAUUCAUGAAAAACUCCCCAUGAGUCAAACCAUAUAGCUUCCGCGUCAAGUUGUUAUUCUCAUGUGAUUCAUUAACUUUUUCAUAUUAAAAANNNNNNNNNNNNNNNNNNNNNNNNNNNNNNNNNNNNNNNNUUCUGCCUGGAAGCAUUAAGUUUAUUAAUGAAUCAUAACUUAAACAAAGAAAACAAAUCUAAUAUUAUAAAUUGGAAAAGAAGUUAAGCUACAUUAAAUCCCUAGUAUGAGAAUUUAGUUAGACAUAGUACUUAAAUAAAACUCAAUAAUACUUGAUAGAUAUUCCAUGAUCAAUAAGAAUAAUGAAAGAAAUAAACAAGAUUAAGAAUUUAGAAAUAAGAACUAGUUAACAAUUGGCUUGGAUGACUUCCUUGAACCUUUGCACAACUCUUGAAUGCUUGAACUCUUAAAAAAAGUAAAACUAUCUACAAGACUAAGAGAAUGAGAUGGAAUUGAGUAGAAUGAUAUGGGAUAUGAUAUCCUUCCUCUCUUUAUAUAGACUUCUUGGGAGAGAACUUCUAUAUUGUUUAGGGAAUAAAUCCACAUUGUUUAGGAAAUAAAUUCCAACUUGUUUAGGGAAUAAAGUUCUCAUUAGGCUUUAAAUUUCUCUCAAUCAUGUCUCUUCCACGUGCAUAAAUUAGAACUUGAUUUGCAUGUCUAGCAGAGCUGUAAAACCAUAUCUAGCGGCCCUAGAUAAAAAGAAAACUGUACAGCUUUUAGCAGUUGGGUACAAUUGGCUUAUUUUACUCUUAUAAUAACUCUCACGGGAAUCAUCUCUUCAUUAAUAAGAAUGUUGAUGCUCAUGAAUUCAUUAUUUGCCCUUCUUGUUAUGACAUUUCACAAUCUGUUUGAUAUUUCUUAUAUUUUCCAUCAAAUGAUCAAUUUUGUUUAAUUAUUACAUCAAGUUAUCCGUUUGUGUGAAUAAUCUGUUAAUAAUUAAUCAUUAGUUUCACAAUCUUGUCUUUGACUGGUUCUUUGUUGUAUCUUUGUCGUUUUGUGUUUCACUAUUUUCCACACAGGAUAGACCAUGGAAGUUUCGUACUUAGGCUCAAGCAACCCGCCAUUGCCCAUAUGCAAGGCUGUAUUCGACAAUGACAUUAAAACAAGAACCAGUCAACUAAGAAAAAAAUAUAUUAAAAGAAAUUCCAAUAUACCUAAGAUUAAUCGAUCAUUGUAAAUGACCUUCAAUUUAGAAGAGAGAAUAUAAUACACAGAUGAUGGAAGAGAUAUCAGAGACAGCAAAAGCUUAUUAUGCAAACUUAUCAGAAAAGCAGAAGCGAUUAGCAAAAGAUUUUUUCAACGAAAUGGAUAAAGAUGGAGAUGGAAAAAUUACUUUCGAUGAAUAUGAGCAAUACAUUAAGACAAAGAAAGGCUUUAAAACAAUUGCUUCUUCGGAUUUCUUUAGGAAGCUCGAUAAGGACGGAAAUGGCUCAUUGGAUUUCGAAGAAAUUUGUGACUGUACACUACAAAUGCGCAAGCGAAAGAGUUUUCUAUUGCGAUGAGUGUAGAGUCUUUCUUGAUAGAGUCUAUUUUACUUGUGUCCAGCGCUUCAAUGGCUCCGGUAAUACUUAUGAUCUCUGUGUUUCUUGCUAUCGCGAUAAGAAUAUCAUUAAUCAUCACAAGGAUGCUGUGUUUCUCGAUAAUUACACGAUGCUGCAAGCCAAGAGGAAUCAGAAUAAUGCAUCAGCAAGUAAGGUAAAAUAUUUUGAAAAUUCAGAUAUAAUCUUGAAAUUCAUAUUUUAAAGUAUUUUACUUUCCUGGAAAUAAUUAAAUCUGUAUUAUGAUGUUUAUCUUUUACCAGGGAAACAAAGGAGUUGAGGAGACCGUUGAACUUGCAACGUUUGGUAUUGAAACUACGUCUAAUGUUGUUAACUUAUGUAACCAAUUGUAAAUUUGCUCAAAAGAAAUCUUCUGGAUUGUUGUGUUUUUUCUUUUUAAACACAUCUUCGCUCAAAUAGUACAUGAAGAUUGUAUUUGUGUAGCUUAUUAUUGAGUAUAUAUUCAAUUUCCAAGUACUUUUCCUGGAAUGGGAUAGAGGGAUAACCAUUGAAGACUUUUGUAAACGUCUACAGGUCUGUGAAACAGCUUGUACAUAAUUUACGACUCUGCGCCUUUGUCAUUGACCUUGGACUUGGUAAGUCGUCUCCUGUUACCUUUUUCUCAAUUUGUGACUUACUUCAUAAGAAAGAAAGACUUAGACGACGCCUAAAAUGGUCUCACUGGACUACAGAAUUGUGGAAGACCGUGUUCAUUUGUGAGAAAAAUAAUUAGUUUUCCAAAAGAAUAGGUUACAGUGGCUCAUUUUUUAUAUAGGAAAUUCCCUUUACCAUUUUCUAGAGGAUUCUGUAAUUACAUUUGUAAUUCUUUUUCGCAUAAAUGAAGAGUUCGUAAUUUGUUUUUAAAUAGAUAAUUAAAUCCAGUUUUUAAAUAGAUAAUUAAAUCAAGUUAAUUCUCAUCUCAAAAUAAAAAAUCUAGGUAAUUGUAAUUAAUAAGAUAAUUGAAAUAGUUUACAUAUACGACAUAUUACUGUUUACUCAAUGUUCUAAAACUUGAUUGUCAAUAUUUUCUGAAACCAUUAUCGUUCAAGAAAAAUAAAUGAGUUAAGGUUGUAUUAGAGAAUAAUUUUUAAAUGGCUUUUUUAAAAAUAUCAUGGCAUUGGAACUAACUUUUUAGAGGUUACGGUAGCAUUGUGCGAAAAGUUAAUUUAUAUAACGUUUAACUCUUGGCGUUUCAUGAAAAGAUAUUCAAACAGUUAACAGCUAAACGCUAUUAAAACAGCAAAUUUUGCCAAACAAACCCUAAGUUUAAUGAACAAUUUAUAAUUUUCUUACUUUGACUUUCAUUUAAUCAAAUAUUUGAAAUGUUUUAAGAUCAGCUGUAUUUCUUAAUACACAGUGUGGAUUUGUUUUAGUAAUUAUUUGAUCUCAAGUUUGUAAAAUUAAGGGUUGAGAUAUUUGACAAUAAGAAAUUUUAAGCAAAUGAAUAUAAGAAAAAAAAAAGAAAAUUUUAAAGUAAAAGUGGCAUUUGUAAUGCAUAAAUUAAAGAAAACAUUUUGAAAUAAAAAAAAAAACUGAGAAGUAUUUAAUUAUUUUUUUUUCUUAAUUUUAAAUUCCAAGUUGACGAAACAAGGGAAAAGUCGUCCAUAACUAUACCCACCGUCUAAUUUUUUUUUCCUUUUUAUUUUUAAAUGAAUAUAUUUAUAUUCAUAAAAAUCUGUAAUUAGAAUCUUUUCUGUCCUUGACGAAAAGGCCAAUUCAACUUGUGGAAAAGCUUGAAGAGACCAGCUGUUGGCAACUGCAAUUAGCAGCCAUUUAACAAUUCCUUUGCAGUUGAGUAUUCAAUUCAACUCAACUCAACUUGUGGAAACUUUUGAAAAAAAAAAAAAAAAAGAAAAAGAAAACUCAACUUGUGGAAAAUGUAUUUGAAUAUGUAUAUAUAUAUAUAUAUAUAUAUAUAUUACUAUAUAAAGUAAAAAAAAAUAUAUAUAUAUAUAUAUUUUUUACUUUAUAUAGUAAUAUGAUAUCAUGGAACUCAUACUGCUGCGAACACUGCAUCGACCUUUUCGGACCAUGGAAGUAAUUUUGCUGAUGUCGCAUCCAAUGUUUCGGAACAUGGAAGUAAUUUUGCUGAGCAUUUAAGUACUGCUGCUGAACUUGCAUCAAAUUGUUCUGUCAUGUAAAAUGUAUAUUUUGCAGCCUUCAAAAAAAAAGAGAGCUGUAUAACUUCUGUGCUUGACUAUAUUUCUUGUUGUUUUAAUUUUAUUUUAUAACUAGAUAAAAGCUUGCCCAACGCGUGGAAUUAUUUUAUUGUUAUUUUCCACUGUAAUCUUCUUAAUAAAUGAAAAUAAAUAGUCAUCGCUGCAGUCUAAUUUUUAAUAUUGUGAAUUUAAAUUUAAAAAGUGUACCAAUGUCCAAACAUAAGUUGUCUAACCUGAUUGUAAAUUUAAAUACUAGAUUAGAAAAGUACUAAGGAACGUAUCUGAGUAUUGUAUGUCCCCUACCACAGAAAAUUACACAUUAUCCAAUAGGUUAAUAUGAUAAAUCAAUUAAAAAAAAAAAAAGAUAAUGGUGAAAGAGGAGAGUGCCAAGUCAGAUUCUUAAUGAUAUAUAUAUAUAUAUAUGUUUUAAUUUUACGAUUAUAGAUAGUAAAAUAUGCCAUUUUAAAUCAUAUUCAAGCAUAACAAAACAAAUUUAAAAUUUCACUCAAAUUUAAAUUCCUUAAUAUUACUUAAUUAAUCCAUUUUUUUUAUUCAAAUCUAAGUUUGAUAAUUUAAAUCCAUCGAUUUGAAAUUAAAACAUUGAAUAUAAAAUUUUUAUUUGAUCUAUAAAUAUUAAAAAAAGAGAAAAUUUUCUAAGUUUGAAAAUUAAAUUUAUGCUCACAAAGAGGCUUCUUGCCCAUAUAUUGAGUUUGUCGCGAAUAAAGUAGCAUAAAUUACCGAUUAUAAGCUUCAUUUAAUAUUUACUUUUGAAUAGAAAAUUUAGAUGUUUAGACUUUAAUUAGUUCAUGUUGAAAUUAGAAUAAAAAUGAAAAUGCAUGUUUAAAUUCAAAAAUUUAUUUUCCAUACAUAUUAAAUUGAUUUUGAAAUUAAAAGUAGAAUGAGUUUAAAAUGUAAAUAAAUAAUAUACUAUUUGCUUUUGCAAACUUUAUUUUUACUUGUAAAAUCAAAAAUUUAAAACCUGGAGUUAGUUGCCUGUAUAUACACAAGGGCGCCCUAAUUACCACUUGCAACCUUAGGCUCAAUUAUCAAUUGUUAGUCCAUAGGGUCUGGUCUGUAGCUUAAAAUUAAGCUUAUUCACGUUUCAAAUUCAAUGAUUAGCUAUGAGGGAAAUAGGAUAGGAUAGGAUAGGAAAUAUUAUCCUGUUUGCAUUCAGACAACACUUCAAAUCUGUUUACGCUUCCCAAGUCAAAUUGCUACUACUAUCUUACAAUUUGUCAAGCAGCCUUUAUGGAACCGUCGGGAGUAAAUAUAUGUUUUGGAGUUUGAUUUAUAAUUUUACUGCUUGUAUUUGUGUCACACCCGUUGAAAAUAUAUAUUAAAUAAAUUUAUAUUCUCAAAUUCUAAUCAAUUUAAAUUUGAAAUUCAUUUAAAAUACAUUUUGUUGCUAAUAAUGAUGAGUAGCUAUUAUCAAAAUCUUAUUUAAUACAGUAGGUAAUGAGUAGCAUAUUGUUAAAAUAGUAAUUUUACUGUUUGUACCGGUUCCAAACCUCUCUAUAACUAUUCAUAUCUUUUUUAAAUAAAAUGAAAGAGUUGAGAAAUAUCCUCAAAUACAUGUUACAUUCUUUUCGGUAAGGACAAUGAUUUAUAAAUUUUAAUAAUAUAAUUAUGAUUUACAAAACAUUUGUAAUUUAAUUUCAUAUGAAUUUGAAUUAAUUAUUAAAACCCAUCACUAUUUAAUUAGUUUUUUCUUAAUUUUAAAUUCCAAUUGGACAAAACAAGGGAAAACUCGUCAAUAACUAUACCCACAGUAUCUUUAGAUGGAUAAGAAUCUAAUUAGGUUCUUUCUGUCCCACACGAAAGGCCAAGUCAAUUUGUGGAAAAGCUUAAAGAGACAAAUUUAAUUUUUUAAUUUAAAAAAAAAAAAANNNNNNNNNNGAAAAGUGAGCCUCAAGCAAUACUCGGAAUACUUUAAACAAAGAGGGCUUGUAGAGCUUACUUAUCCCGAUUUGUUCAAAGCGUUGGAUACAAAUGGAGAUGGCAGACUCGAUUUCGAUGAAUUUAUCACUGUCUACUACCUCUGCAUGAACAAUAAACUGAUAUAUUGUGAAGAAUGCGGGGUCUUUCUCUCUGGAUCCUACAUGAGUUGCCUUCAAUGCUUCAAUAAUGGUUCUGGGGAUCCCUAUAACAUUUGUUAUGAUUGUUAUAGCAGAAACAACAUUGAUCAUCAUAAGGAUGCUUACUUUGUCGAUAAUAUAAAACUCCAUUGCUUCGCAGUUAAAGGCUCUGCAGUUAAUGAAGGCUCCGCAGUUAAUGAAGGCUCCGCAGUUAAUGAAGGCUCCGCAGUUAAUGAAGGCUCCGCAGUUAAUGAAGGCUCCGCAGUUAAUGAAGGCUCCGCAGUUAAUGAAGGCUCCGCAGUUAAUGAAGGCUCCGCAGUUAAUGAAGGCUCCGCAGUUAAUGAAGGCUCCGCAGUUAAUAAAGGCUCUGCAGAUAAUAAUGGCUUCACAACUCGAAGCUCCGGUGGUAAGGUAUGUAUAUAUUAUAUAAUAUAAUUCUGAUACUCUUAGAAAUAUCAAACAACAAAUCUUCAUGCAUAUAACAAUUAAUAUCCAUCUUGAUUUUUCAGAUGACUACGAAGGAUAAGCUUACAGCAGCUCUAUUAGGGGUUUCUGUGGUGAAUUUAGGAAUAAAUACUGCAAAGUUUGUGGCAACUAGUAAACCAGAAUUAUGGGAACAAGCAAAACAAGUUUUCGAUGGUCCCCAAAAAAAUACUUCAGGUGCUGCUGAAUCUGCAUUCGAAUUGUCCGAUCAUGGAAGUAAUGCUGUUAAUUCCGCAGCCGACUUGUCUGAUCAUGGAACUAAUAUUGCUGCUAACACUGCAUGGAACUUUUCGGACCAUGGAAGUAAUUUUGCGGAUGUUGCAUCCAAUUUUGCGGACCAUGGAAGUAAUGUUGCUGAUGUCGCAUCCAAUUUUCCUGACCAUUUAAGCACUGCUGUUGAAAUUGCAUCAAAUUGUACUGUCAUGUAAAAUUUAUAUUUUGCAGCCUUCAACGAAGUGUAAAAUAUCUACUUCUUUUUGUUUAAUUUCAUCUUAUAAUAAUAAAGCUUGCUGGUUUGGAUUUAGUUCCCAGGAGAUGCAGAGCUAUUUGCACAAUACUUUUUCUUAAUAAUAAAUAAUCUCGUUUUGCUGAUAAAAAAAAUAAAAUAUUCCAUUUCAAAUCAUAAUUGAACUUAUCCAUGGCCUCCCAUUCAUCAGACAACAGAACAAAAUUUUAAAUUUUCACUCAAAUUUAAAUUCCUUAAUAUUUCUUAAUUAAUUCAUUUUUCUAUUCGAAUCUAAGUUUGAUAAUUUAAAACCAUCAAUUUGAAAUUAAAACAUUGAGUAUAAAAUUUGUAUUUGAUCUAUAAAUAUAACAAAAAAAAGGAGAAAAAAAAAAUGGAAGUUUGAAAAUUAUGUUUAUGCUCGCAAAGAAGCCUUUUGCCCAUAAAAGAGUUUGUCGCCAAUAAAGAGUAAUAAAACAACUGCUAAUUAUAAGCUUCGUUUAAUAUUUCCCUUGAAAUAGAUAAUUUGGAGGUUUAGACUUUAAUUAUUUCACCUUUAAAUUAUAAUAAAAACGGAAAUGUAUGUUUAAAUUCAAAAAAUCAUUUUUAGUUAAAUUGACUUUAUAUGUUACUUCCAGACAUAUUAAACUGAUUUUAAAAUUAAAAUUAGAAUGAAUUUAAUAUGUAAUAAAUAAAUGUAUUUGCCUUUGCAAACUUUAUUUUUACUUGCAAAGUCAAAAAUUUGAAACCUAAUGUCAUCGUGUGGUGUGUGUGUACACAUAAGGGUGCCCUAAUUACCACUUCAGCAAUUCCUUAUUAAGCUUAUUAACACUUCAAAUUCAGUGAUUAGCUAUGAGGAAAAUGGGAUAGGAAAUGUUGUCCUGUUAGGAUUCAGAGAAACACUUGAAAUACAAUUUGAUACUAUCUUACAAUUUGUUAAGCAGCCUUUAUGGAAACUGUGGGAAGAACUUGAUGUCUUGCAAUUUGUUAAGCAGCCUUCGUGGAAACUGUGGGAGAGUAAAUAUAUGUUUUUCGAAUUAAUAUAGAAUGAAUAGAUCCGUCUCUUCUUCCAUUCAUCACAUAUAUCGUGAAGGAAAUCAAGCCGUAUAUCUUUUGACCACUCAUCAUAGAGUUCAUCAUACUUCUCUUUCUUUUAUCUCUUUUAAUUUUUUGCCUCAUUUGAUUAAAGGAAUUGUAUUAUUGAAAGUUAUAGGACUAAAUAUUUGAGAUAUAAAUAAAAUAAAGAUAUUUUUUGCUAAAAAAAAAAAAAUAGAUCCGAAUUUAAUUAAAAUACAUUUUAUUGCUAAUAAUGAGUAGGAUAUCCACGAGUAUCUAUUAUAAAAAAACCUGUUUAAUAUAAGCAGAUAACAGAUAAUAUAUAUCAAAAACUUAAAUGCGUAGCCCUAGCUAUUUAUACUAUAAAUAAUGAUUUUAUCGUCUGUGCCAUUUUAAACUUUUCUAUGACCAUUUGUACUUUUAUUAAAUGGAUUGGAGGAGGCGAGUAUUUUACUUGUCGGCUUCUUCCCAAUAAGGACAGCUAUUACUCAUUAGGUAGUGAAUUAUUUACUAAUUUAAUAAAAUAAAAUAUGAGUUGAUGAUUAAAAAAAAAAAAAGGUCCAAAGACGAAAGGUUCUCUGCAAUUGGCAGCUUUGAGAUUCGGUAUGAACUGUAGGGCAACUUCUUUCCAAUUGAAUAUUCAACUUUGGCCGACCAAUUGAAAUACAUGUAGGAAGCAAUAUAUACAGGGAAAAUCACAAAACCAAAAAGCAAAAGCAAAAAAUAGAAAAAAAAACCCAACGGAUAUAGAUUAAAAGAUGGAGGAGAUACGACAGGCUGCUUCAGCUUAUUACAGAAACUUGGCAACUGCAGAUAAGCAGAUGGCAAUCAAUGGGUUCAAUUUAAUGGAUAAAACUGGAAAUGGGACAAUUAGCCUCAGGCGAUAUUCAGAAUACUUCAAACAAAGAGGGCUUAUAGAGCUUACUUAUCCUGAAUUUUUCAAAGCAUUGGAUUCGGAUGGAGAUGACCGGCUUGAUUUCGAUGAAUUUAUCACUGUCUACUACCUCUGCAUGAAUAAUAAACUGAUAUUCUGUGAAGAAUGUAUGGUGUUUCUAUCUGGAUCGUACAUGAGUUGCCUUCAAUGCUUCAAUAGUGGUUCUGCUGGAAGCAUUAAGUUUAUUAAUGAAUCAUAACUUAAACAAAGAAAACAAAUCUAAUAUUAUAAAUUGGAAAAGAAGUUAAGCUACAUUAAAUCCCUAGUAUGAGAAUUUAGUUAGACAUAGUACUUAAAUAAAACUCAAUAAUACUUGAUAGAUAUUCCAUGAUCAAUAAGAAUAAUGAAAGAAAUAAACAAGAUUAAGAAUUUAGAAAUAAGAACUAGUUAACAAUUGGCUUGGAUGACUUCCUUGAACCUUUGCACAACUCUUGAAUGCUUGAACUCUUAAAAAAAGUAAAACUAUCUACAAGACUAAGAGAAUGAGAUGGAAUUGAGUAGAAUGAUAUGGGAUAUGAUAUCCUUCCUCUCUUUAUAUAGACUUCUUGGGAGAGAACUUCUAUAUUGUUUAGGGAAUAAAUCCACAUUGUUUAGGAAAUAAAUUCCAACUUGUUUAGGGAAUAAAGUUCUCAUUAGGCUUUAAAUUUCUCUCAAUCAUGUCUCUUCCACGUGCAUAAAUUAGAACUUGAUUUGCAUGUCUAGCAGAGCUGUAAAACCAUAUCUAGCGGCCCUAGAUAAAAAGAAAACUGUACAGCUUUUAGCAGUUGGGUACAAUUGGUUUAUUUUACUCUUAUAAUAACUCUCACGGGAAACAUCUCUUCAUUAAUAAGAAUGUUGAUCCUCAUGAAUUCAUUAUUUGACUUCUUGUUAUGACAUUUCACAAUCUGUUUGAUAUUUCUUAUAUUUUCCGUCAAAUGAUCAAUUUUGUUUAAUUAUUAUUACAUCAAGUUACCCGUUUGUGUGAAUUACGAUAUUAUAUCAUGCAAUAUACAAUAAUCUGUUAAUAAUUAAUCAUUAGUUUCACAAUCUUGUCUUUGACUGGUUCAUUGUUGUAUCUUUGUCGUUUUGUGUUUCACUAUUUUCCACGCAGGAUAGACCAUGGAAGUUUCGUAUUUAGGCUCAAGCAGCCCGCCAUUGCCCAUAUGCAAGGCUGUAUUCGACAAUGACAUUAAAACAAGAAUCAGUCAACUAAGAAAAGAAUAUAUUAAAAGAAAUUCCAAAAUACCUAAGAUUAAUCAAUCAUUAUAAAUGAUCUUCAAUUUAGAAGAGAGAAUAUAAUAUACAGAUGAUGGAAGAGAUAUCAGAGACGGCAAAAGCUUAUUAUGCAAACUUAUCAGAAAAGCAGAAGCGAUUAGCAAAAGAUUUUUUCAACGAAAUGGAUAAAGAUGGAGAUGGAAAAAUUACUUUCGAUGAAUAUGAGCAAUACAUUAAGACAAAGAAAGGCUUUAAAACAAUUGCUUCUUCGGAUUUCUUUAGGAAGCUCGAUAAGGACGGAAAUGGCUCAUUGGAUUUCGAUGAAUUUGUGACUGUACACUACAUAUGCGCAAGCGAAAGAGUUUUCUAUUGCGAUGAGUGUAGAGUCUUUCUUGAUAGAGUCUAUUUUACUUGUGUCCAGUGCUUCAAUGGCUCCGGUAAUACUUAUGAUCUCUGUGUUUCUUGCUAUCGCGAUAAGAAUAUCAUUAAUCAUCACAAGGAUGCUGUGUUUCUCGAUAAUUACACGAUGCUGCAAGCCAAGAGGAAUCAGAAUAAUGCAUCAGCAAGUAAGGUAAAAUAUUUUGAAAAUUCAGAUAUAAUCUUGAAAUUCAUAUUUUAAAGUAUUUUACUUUCCUGGAAAUCGAAAUAAUUAAAUCUCUAUUAUGAUGUAGGGAAACAAAGGAGUUAAGGAGACCGUUGAACUGGCAAAGUUUGGUAUUGAAACUACGUCUAAUGUUGUUAACUUAUGUAACCAAAUGUAAAUUUGCUCAAAAGAAAUCUUCUGGAUUGUUGUGUUUUUUCUUUGUAAACCCAUCUUCACUCAAAUAAUACAUAAAGAUUGUAUUUGUGUAGCUUAUUAUUAUGUAUAUAUUCAAUUUCCAAGUACUUUUCCUGGAAUGGGAUAGAGGAAUAACCAUUGAAGACUGGAUGCUUCAGCUUAUUAUAGAAGCUUGCCACCUGCAGAAAUGCAAAAGGCAAAGGAUGGGUUCAGUGCAAUGGAUAAAACUGGAAGUGGAAAAGUGAGCCUCAAGGAAUACUCGGAAUAUUUUAAACAAAGAGGGCUUGUAGAGCUUACUUAUCCCGAUUUGUUCAAAGCAUUGGAUACAAAUGGAGAUGGCAGACUCGAUUUCGAUGAAUAUAUCACUGUCUACUACCUCUGCAUGAACAAUAAACUGAUAUAUUGUGGAGAAUGCGGGGUCUUUCUCUCUGGAUCCUACAUGAGUUGCCGUCAAUGCUUCAAUAAUGGUUCUGGGGAUCCCUAUAAUAUUUGUUAUGAUUGUUAUAGCAGAAACAACAUUGAUC
rnacentral:lncRNA from 1 species